CCUACGGGAGGCAGCAGUGAGGAAUAUUGGUCAAUGGCCGCAGGGCUGAACCAGCCAAGUCGCGUGAGGGAUGACGGUCCUAUGGAUUGUAAACCUCUUUUGUCAGGGAGCAAAGGGCGCCACGUGUGGCGCUUUGCGAGUACCUGAAGAAAAAGCAUCGGCUAACUCCGUGCCAGCAGCCGCGGUAAUACGGGGGAUGCGAGCGUUAUCCGGAUUUAUUGGGUUUAAAGGGUGCGCAGGCGGAAUGUCAAGUCAGCGGUAAAAUUUCGGGGCUCAACCCGGUCGUGCCGUUGAAACUGGCGUUCUUGAGUGAGCGAGAAGUAGGCGGAAUGUGUGGUGUAGCGGUGAAAUGCAUAGAGAUCACGCAGAACUCCGAUUGCGAAGGCAGCAUACCGGCGCUCAACUGACGUUCAUGCACGAAAGCGUGGGUAUCGAACAGGAUUAGAUACCCCGGUAGUC
rnacentral:rRNA from 1 species